rnacentral:rRNA from 1 species
CACGUAGGGUGCGAGCGUUGUCCGGAAUUAUUGGGCGUAAAGAGCUCGUAGGCGGUUUGUCGCGUCGGCCGUGAAAUCUCCACGCUUAACGUGGAGCGUGCGGUCGAUACGGGCAGACUUGAGUUCGGCAGGGGAGACUGGAAUUCCUGGUGUAGCGGUGAAAUGCGCAGAUAUCAGGAGGAACACCGGUGGCGAAGGCGGGUCUCUGGGCCGAUACUGACGCUGAGGAGCGAAAGCGUGGGGAGCGAACAGG